AGGAUAAACGCUGGCGGCAGGCCUAACACAUGCAAGUCGAGCGCCCCGCAAGGGGAGCGGCAGACGGGAGAGUAACACGUGGGAACGUACCCUUUGGUUCGGAACAACACAGGGAAACUUGUGCUAAUACCGGAUAAGCCCUUACGGGGAAAGAUUUAUUGCCAAAGGAUCGGCCCGCGUCUGAUUAGCUUGUUGGUGAGGUAACGGCUCACCAAGGCUACGAUCAGUAGCUGGUCUGAGAGGAUGAUCAGCCUCACUGGGACUGAGACACGGCCCAGACUCCUACGGGAGGCAGCAGUGGGGAAUAUUGGACAAUGGGCGCAAGCCUGAUCCAGCCAUGCCGCGUGGAUGAUGAAGGCCCUAGGGUUGUAAAGUCCUUUCGACGGGGAAGAUAAUGACGGUACCCGUAGAAGAAGCCCCGGCUAACUUCGUGCCAGCAGCCGC
rnacentral:rRNA from 1 species